ACGUAGGGUGCGAGCGUUGUCCGGAAUUAUUGGGCGUAAAGAGCUUGUAGGCGGUUUGUCGCGUCUGCUGUGAAAAUCCGGGGCUCAACCCCGGACUUGCAGUGGGUACGGGCAGGCUAGAGUGUGGUAGGGGAGACUGGAAUUCCUGGUGUAGCGGUGAAAUGCGCAGAUAUCAGGAGGAACACCAAUUGCGAAGGCAGCUCGCUGGGACGUUACUGACGCUGAGACGCGAAAGCGUGGGGAGCAAACAGGA
rnacentral:rRNA from 1 species